rnacentral:tRNA from 1 species
AGGCGCGUAGCUCAGCCGGUUAGAGCACCACCUUGACAUGGUGGGGGUCGUUGGUUCGAAUCCAAUCGCGCCUACCA